rnacentral:rRNA from 1 species
AUGAACGCUGGCGGCGUGCCUAAUACAUGCAAGUCGAGCGAACGGACGAGAAGCUUGCUUCUCUGAUGUUAGCGGCGGACGGGUGAGUAACACGUGGAUAACCUACCUAUAAGACUGGGAUAACUUCGGGAAACCGGAGCUAAUACCGGAUGAUAUUUUGAACCGCAUGGUUCAAAAGUGAAAGACGGUCUUGCUGUCACUUAUAGAUGGAUCCGCGCUGCAUUAGCUAGUUGGUAAGGUAACGGCUUACCAAGGCAACGAUGCAUAGCCGACCUGAGAGGGUGAUCGGCCACACUGGAACUGAGACACGGUCCAGACUCCUACGGGAGGCAGCAGUAGGGAAUCUUCCGCAAUGGGCGAAAGCCUGACGGAGCAACGCCGCGUGAGUGAUGAAGGUCUUCGGAUCGUAAAACUCUGUUAUUAGGGAAGAACAAAUGUGUAAGUAACUAUGCACGUCUUGACGGUACCUAAUCAGAAAGCCACGGCUAACUACGUG